rnacentral:rRNA from 1 species
UUAUGCUGAUAAGAGCGUAUGGUGGAUGCCUUGGCACUAAGAGCCGAUGAAAGACGUGAUAAGCUGCGAAAAGCUUCGGGGAGGAGCAAAUAUCCUUUGAUCCGGAGAUUUCUGAAUGGGGAAACCUACUUGAGCAAACCUCAAGUAUCCUUAAGCCAAUACAUAACUUAAGGAAGGGAACCCGGUGAACUGAAACAUCUAAGUAGCCGGAGGAAGAGAAAACAACAUGUGAUUCUGUGAGUAGCGGCGAGCGAAAACGGAAGAGCCCAAACCAGCGUGCGUGCAUGCUGGGGUUCGGACCGCGGAAUUGAUUCAACGAGUUUAGCAGAACGGUUUUGGGAAAGCCGGCCAGAGAGGGUGAAAGCCCCGUAAGCGAAAGACGAGUUGACAUGGCGGGAUCCAGAGUACCACGAGACACGUGGAACCUUGUGGGAAGAUGCGGGGACCACCCCGUAAGGCUAAAUACUACUUAGUGACCGAUAGCGCAUAGUACUGUGAAGGAAAGGUGAAAAGGACCCCGGGAGGGGAGUGAAAAAGAACCUGAAACCAUAUGUUUACAAGCUGUGGAAGAGCUUUAUAUGCUCAACCGCGUACUUUUUGUAGAACGGUCCGGCGAGUUACGCUGGCUGGCGAGGUUAAGGACUAAAGGUCCGGAGCCGAAGGGAAACCAAGUCUGAACAGGGCGCAUAGUCAGUCGGAGUAGACCCGAAACCGGGUGAUCUAUCCAUGUCCAGGUUGAAGUUGCCGUAAAAGGCAAUGGAGGACCGAACCCACAUCCGUUGAAAAGGGUGGGGAUGAGGUGUGGAUAGGGGAGAAAUUCCAAUCGAACCCGGAGAUAGCUGGUUCUCCUCGAAAUAGCUUUAGGGCUAGCCUCAUACGAGUCUUGCGGAGGUAGAGCACUGAAUUCCUAAGGGGGCGUCAAAGCUUACUAAGGGAUAUCAAACUCCGAAUGCCGUGUAGAUGAUGUAUGGGAGUCAGACGAUCCGAGAUAAGUUGGGUGGUCAAAAGGGAAAGAGCCCAGACCAACAGCUAAGGCCCCAAAAUGUGUGUUAAGUGGAAAAGGAUGUGGGAUUUCGAAGACAACUAGGAUGUUGGCUCAGAAGCAGCCAUUCAUUCAAAGAGUGCGUAAUAGCUCACUAGUCGAGAGGUCCUGCGCCGAAAAUGUCCGGGGCUAAAACACACUGCCGAAGCUUUGGAAUUGAGAAUUCAAUUGGUAGAGGAGCAUUCUUAAAGGGACGAAGCAGUACCGUAAGGAGCUGUGGACUUUUAAGAAGAGAGAAUGCCGGAAUGAGUAGCGAGAGGAAGGUGGGAAUCCUUCCGGCCGAAUAUCUAAGGUUUCCAGAGUAAAGCUGAUCUGCUCUGGGUAAGUCGGGGCCUAAGGCGAGGUCGAAAGACGUAGUCGAUGGAUAACAGGUUGAAAUUCCUGUACUAUCCUGUAACAGAACUGUGGGGACACAGGCAGAGAGCGUGAGCCGGGAAUGGAAAGACCGGUACAAGCGAGGUAGGAGUUCAGUUGGCAAAUCCGCUGAACAAUCUGAAGACGUGAUGUGGACUGAAAAUAAGUAGGGAAGCACGUGAGCUGACUGUCAAGAAAAGCCGCUAUUGUUUGCAGGAUACCCGUACCGUAAACCGACACAGGUGGAUGAGGAGAGAAUCCUAAGGCCGACGGGAGAAGCAUUGUUAAGGAACUCGGCAAAAUGACUCCGUAACUUCGGGAGAAGGAGUGCCAGUAAGAUGGCCGCAGAGAAUUGGCCCAAGCAACUGUUUAGCAAAAACACAGGUCUAUGCAAAACCGAAAGGUGAGGUAUAUGGGCUGACGCCUGCCCGGUGCUGGAAGGUUAAGGGGAGAGGUUAGCGCAAGCGAAGCUUUGAACUUAAGCCCCAGUAAACGGCGGCCGUAACUAUAACGGUCCUAAGGUAGCGAAAUUCCUUGUCGGGUAAGUUCCGACCCGCACGAAAGGCGUAAUGAUUUGGGCACUGUCUCAACAAUGCACCCGGUGAAAUUGAAAUACCAGUGAAGAUGCUGGUUACCUGCGCCAGGACGGAA